UCUUGCAUAGUGCUAGCCAACAUAGCACUGCCAAGCCUAUAAGGAUGCUGCGGGUUUUUCUUCCCAAGGUGGAGAACCUUGCAUUUAUUGGCGUUGAACACCAUCAGAUUCUCGUCCGCCCACUUCACUGUAGGUUCACACUGUGGUACAGUUUAAUUUAUUUGGGAAGGAUUUAAGGGGCUAAAUCCUAUUUCACUUCAUGUAUUUUUACUCUUUUGGCACUUAACAUACAGUUUUGAAUCCUGUUUCACCCUGUUGCAAAAUAGAUGUACCUGCUGGAAGCAGAGAAGAGGAGGACCUUUCCAUGGGUUAGACAGUAGCCUAGAGGUUAGGGCAUUGCCUAGCGGGUAGGAUCCAGAUUGUAGGCUCCCUUCUCACAUAGAAGGUUUAAACCUGCAUCUUCUGUUUCCUAGCAAAGUGCUCUAACCAGCAGGCCACAGGUUAGGCAGUAGCCAGACCUCUUUCCAGUCAUCCCCUUCAAGCUGAGCCAUUGCACUUGUUCAUUUAAUAUUCUCUGGAUAAAGAUCAGUGGGGAAGUUUCUGCCCUUCUGGGAACAGGGCUUCAGCCUAAAAUCCAGGCCCCCCUCCAAGACAAAGUAGCAUUCAUCCUACUGAGCUCACACAUUCAAGCUUGUUCUUCCUGGCCCCACAUAUCUUAUUUGCUUGCCUGUCCAUGCGAUUGGUUUCAAGAGGAAGGCUGGAAAAGUCACUGGAUAAUAUGUAAUCUGCUGCCUCCUGUUUAGAGCACUGUGCUGGGAAGCAGAAAAUGCAGACUCAAAUCCCCUCUGGGAAAAAGGCGAGCUUUUACACCACAGGCAUGUGCCCCAAUUGCAAGAGUUAAAACAUGGGAGAGGGGUGGAAGGACACACUUCUCCAGCAUUUAGCACCUGUUAGUUGUGGGAUUUUGCCUGGCUACAAUUUCAGACCUUACCCAGCCUUUUACAUGUAGAUCACCAGAUACCUGUCUGCACAGAGUGCACCUUUACUGAGCAUCCUCACUUGCCUGCCCAGUGCUGAGCUGCAAACUGUAUUGAAACUUGUGCACCUAACUGUGAUUUGCACCUGUCCUGGAUUUCUGCAGCCUGAAUGGAAUCAGGACCUGUCAAAAUUCUCAUCAAAGGCUGUUCUAGCAACACUUACAGUUCAUUUGUGAAGACCAGGAAGCAUGCUACACAUUUUUGGUCAAAUAUUCACAAGUUUUAGAUUAGGUCACUGCACCAAAGCACAAGUGAACUUUUUGAAGGUUGUCCAUCACUUACUAGGGCCCACCAACUUAGUACAUUUUAAAUCUAAUCUUUGUGUCUGUAGCUCAGUUCUAUUAAAAUCUGGUUGAAUUCAAUAUAUAUCAUGUAAAUACUCUCUUAUGGCCAGUGAAUGGAACAAAUAUGUAUUUUAAUCUGGCAGUCUAGCAGAGGGUAAAGUGGAUAAUUUGUUUGUUAAAUAUUGCUGGUUUAAUUUAAUGGAGUAUUAAGUUUUUUUUAAACUAAAGAAGGCCUAAAUGUCACAGUCCUUUUCCAUUAGUAAGAAACAUUCUUAUGUAGGAAACAGUCCUUUUUUCUUGAUGGGAAGAAGACAGUUUUAUAUAUUUCCAUUUCAUGAUCCAUUUGUUUUGGAGAACUUGAUAAAUUGAAUGUGCUGUAUUUACAAAAACCUAACAUCUCUAGAGUAAUUUUAAUCCAACAAUACUAUUAAUGUGCUGGCAGCUUGAAGUGACUUUUGGUUUGUUGUUUGUGUAUUGCAUAGCAUCUGCAUUUAUUUGUAACUGACAUAUUCCACAUAACUUAUAAAGAUUGUAUAAACCCAGUAACUUGAUGCUUUGAUGACAUUUCAUAUUUCUGGGGGGUUUGAAAUACACUAAAGUAUCAUCUGUUCAUAUUAUUGUAAAAUUAAAAAUAUGCUAUUUAUAAAUAU